AAGUCGUAACAAGGUUUCCGUAGGUGAACCUGCGGAAGGAUCAUUAACAAAUCCAGUGCGGGACGUGUGGCGGCACCGCACCCUUCGAGAUGCAUGCUUGCACAUCGCGCGCCCAAACAUUAAUCCCACAUUGCAGCAAUGCGGUGUGGAUUGUCACAUUUGAAGUUGGACAGAACCGUCAGGAACAAUAAUCAAUUGAUUAAACAACUUUUAACAAUGGAUCUCUAGGCUCUU
rnacentral:misc_RNA from 1 species